rnacentral:lncRNA from 1 species
AUCUGUACCAUGGGGAUGAUACCAUCUAGGUCGAAGGUAGUUGCAGGAGAUUCUCAUGCACGGAGGCCCUUGGCCGUCAUUUGUUUCUUUGUCUCUACAAGCAGAGAGGCUGAGUCAUACAGAUCCUGAGGGGAGAUCACUUUCUCUUCCCUCCUUUCGUGUGUCAUCUCCACCUGGGUGUGGUGAGCCCCAGGAAUAAUGCUGUGACAUCAAGCCCCGUGAACACCUCCUUUCACACGGACCCCGUGACUGGCUGCGGCUGCCAGCGGUGAUGAGAACUGAUGACACUCCAGGGCUACCAGGAACGGCCUGAUCUUUUGGCCAGAAGGAGAUUAAAAAGAUGCCCCUCAAGAUGGCUGUGCCUGUCAGCUGCAUGGAGCUUCGUUCAAGUAUUUUCUGAGCCUGAUGGAUUUACAGUGAUCUUCAGUGGUCUGGGGAAUAACGCUGGUGGAACCAUGCACUGGAAUGACACACGCCCGGCACAUUUCAGGAUACUAAAAGUGGUUUUAAGGGAGGCUGUGGCUGAAUGCCUCAUGGAUUCUUACAGCUUGGAUGUCCAUGGGGGACGAAGGACUGCAGCUGGCUGAGAGGGUUGAGAUCUCUGUUUACUUAGAUCUCUGCCAACUUCCUUUGGGUCUCCCUAUGGAAUGUAAGACCCCGACUCUUCCUGGUGAAGCAUCUGAUGCACGUUCCAUCCGGCGCUCAGCUGGGCUUGAGCUGACCAUACUCCCUGGAGCCUUCUCCCGAGGUGCGCGGGUGACCUUGGCACAUACAGCCAUCAUGAUGGUACUUUAAGUGGAGGCUGAAUCAUCUCCCCUUUGAGCUGCUUGGCACGUGGCUCCCUUGGUGUUCCCCUUUUACUGCCAGGACACUGAGAUUUGGAGAGAAUCCUGUUACACCUGGGAUUUAGGCACUUUCAAUCUGAAAAAAUACAUAUCCUUUCAGCACUCUGGACGGACUUGAGAACUGUCCUUACGUGACCUAAAGCUGGAGUAUUUUGAGAUUGGAGAAUUAAGAGUGUGGGCACCCUGGCUUCAAGCUCACGAGAAACCAGGUCGGGAUUUAAACAAUGUUGGGUUAAAGCAAAGUUUCAUAAAGACAGAAUCAAGAAAAAAAGAAAGAGAAA